rnacentral:rRNA from 1 species
GUUUUAAUCCUAGCCGAAUAACAAACAAAUAAUACUACCUUUAUCAUAAUAAACUAAACCAUUCAACUAAGUAGUAUAGGCGAUAGAACCUUUUUAACGAGCAACAACAAAAGUACUGCAAAGGAAAGAUUAAAUAAAAAUGAAAAAAAUAACAAAAACAAAAAAAAGAAAAGAUUAAACCCUGUACCUUUUGCAUAAUGGUCUAGUUAGUCAAAUUUAACUUAAAGAAAUAAAGUUAAUCUCCCCGAAACCAGACGAGCUACUCAAGAGCAGCAUAAUAGAGCCAACCCUUCUCUGUGGCAAAAGAGUGGGAUGACUUUUGAGUAGAGGUGAAAAGCCUAACGAGCCUGGUGAUAGCUGGUUACUCAAGAAAUGAAUUUUAGUUCAGCUUAAUGUCCUUUAUAUUAUUAAAAAAAUAAAAUAAGACUUUAAAGUUAAUUAAUAGGGGUACAGCCCUAUUAAUAUAGGAUACAACCUACAAUAUGAAUAAAGAUUAUAAUUACAAAAGAAAUUAACCAUGUAGGCCUAAAAGCAGCCACCAAAGAAAGCGUCAAAGCUCAGUUCAACAAAACUUAUUAUACUAAUAAAAAAUCUGAAUUCACACUUAAUAUUGAGCCUAUCUACAAUGUAGAUGAGUUUAUACUAGAAUGAGUAAUAAGAAUUAUAUCUCUAAAUACAUGUGUAGAUCAGAACGAAAAAAAUCACUGAUAAUUAACGACUAAAUAUAAAAUAACAAGAACCGAUAUUAAAAAUACCGUUAACCCGACACAGGAGUAUAAAAGAAAGAUUAAAAGAUUAAAAAGGAACUCGGCAAACAAGAACUUCGCCUGUUUACCAAAAACAUCGCCUCUUGCAACACUAGUAUAAGAGGUCCUGCCUGCCCAGUGAACAAUUUAACGGCCGCGGUAUAAUGACCGUGCAAAGGUAGCGUAAUCACUUGUCUUUUAAAUAAAGACCCGUAUGAAUGGCAAGACGAAAGUUCAACUGUCUCUUUGAUCUAAUCAAUGAAAUUUAUCUUCCCGUGCAGAAGCGGAAAUAUGCCUAUAAGACGAGAAGACCCUAUGGAGCUUUAAAUAUAUAUUAACUAUACCAUAUAAUUUUUCCCAAGGACAGAACAUUAAACUGUAUAGUAAUAAUUAAAAUUUUGGGUUGGGGCGACCACGGAAGACAAGAGAUCAUCCGAGAUGAAUAAUUUAGAAAGACACUUCAAAAUCUAAAACAUUUACCAUAAAUGAUCCACUAAGUGACCAACGAACCAAGUUACCCUAGGGAUAACAGCGCAAUCCUUUCCAAGAGUCCAUAUCGACGAAUGGGUUUACGACCUCGAUGUUGGAUCAGGACACCCAAAUGGUGCAGCCGCUAUUAAAGGUUCGUUUGUUCAACGAUUAAAGUCCUACGUGAUCUGAGUUCAGACCGGAGCAAUCCAGGUCAGUUUCUAUCUAUAAAAAAUUUUUUCUAGUACGAAAGGACCGAAAAAAUAGAGCCACUUACUCACUAAAGCUCUUUAUAAGUUGAAGACAAAUAAAACCACAAAGAAAUAAUUCUACCCAAGAACAGGGAACAA